rnacentral:rRNA from 1 species
GGUGACAAGCCGGAGGAAGGUGGGGAUGACGUCAAGUCCUCAUGGCCCUUACGGGUAGGGCUUCACACGUCAUACAAUGGUCGGUCCAGAGGGCAGCGACCNUGCGAAGGUGAGCCAAUCCCAGAAAGCCGAUCGUAGUCCGGAUUGCAGUCUGCAACUCGACUGCACGAAGCUGGAAUCGCUAGUAAUCGCGGAACAGCAUGCCGCGGUGAAUACGUUCCCGGGUCUUGUACACACCGCCCGUCACACCAUGGGAGUGGGUUUUACCAGAAGUGGCUAGUUUAACCGCAAGGAAGACGGUCCCCA